AGGAGCUUGCUCCUUUGACGUUAGCGGCGGACGAGUGAGUAACACGUGGAUAACCUACCUAUAAGACUGGGAUAACUUCGGGAAACCGGAGCUAAUACCGGAUAAGAUUUUGAACCGCAUGGUUCAAUAGUGAAAGACGGCCUUGCUGUCACUUAUAGAUGGAUCCGCGCCGUAUUAGCUAGUUGGUAAGGUAACGGCUUACCAAGGCAACGAUACGUAGCCGACCUGAGAGGGUGAUCGGCCACACUGGAACUGAGACACGGUCCAGACUCCUACGGGAGGCAGCAGUAGGGAAUCUUCCGCAAUGGGCGAAAGCCUGACGGAGCAACGCCGCGUGAGUGAUGAAGGUCUUCGGAUCGUAAAACUCUGUUAUCAGGGAAGAACAAACGUGUAAGUAACUGUGCACGUCUUGACGGUACCUGAUCAGAAAGCCACGGCUAACUACGUGCCAGCAGCCGCGGUAAUACGUAGGUGGCAAGCGUUAUCCGGAAUUAUUGGGCGUAAAGCGCGCGUAGGCGGUUUUUUAAGUCUGAUGUGAAAGCCCACGGCUCAACCGUGGAGGGUCAUUGGAAACUGGAAAACUUGAGUGCAGAAGAGGAAAGUGGAAUUCCAUGUGUAGCGGUGAAAUGCGCAGAGAUAUGGAGGAACACCAGUGGCGAAGGCGACUUUCUGGUCUGUAACUGACGCUGAUGUGCGAAAGCGUGGGGAUCAAACAGGAUUAGAUACCCUGGUAGUCCACGCCGUAAACGAUGAGUGCUAAGUGUUAGGGGGUUUCCGCCCCUUAGUGCUGCAGCUAACGCAUUAAGCACUCCGCCUGGGGAGUACGACCGCAAGGUUGAAACUCAAAGGAAU
rnacentral:rRNA from 1 species